rnacentral:rRNA from 1 species
UACGGGGGGGGCAAGCGUUGUUCGGAAUUACUGGGCGUAAAGGGCGCGUAGGCGGCCUUCUAAGUCGAACGUGAAAUCCCUGGGCUCAACCCAGGAACUGCGUCCGAUACUGGGAGGCUUGAAUCCGGGAGAGGGAUGUGGAAUUCCAGGUGUAGCGGUGAAAUGCGUAGAUAUCUGGAGGAACACCGGUGGCGAAGGCGGCAUCCUGGACCGGUAUUGACGCUGAUGCGCGAAAGCCAGGGGAGCAAACGGG